rnacentral:rRNA from 1 species
UACUUAGGGUGCGAGCGUUGUCCGGAAUUAUUGGGCGUAAAGAGCUCGUAGGCGGUCUGUCGCGUCGAUCGUGAAAACUUGGGGCUUAACCCUGAGCUUGCGGUCGAUACGGGCAUGACUGGAGUUCGGCAGGGGAGACUGGAAUUCCUGGUGUAGCGGUGAAAUGCGCAGAUAUCAGGAGGAACACCGGUGGCGAAGGCGGGUCUCUGGGCCGAUACUGACGCUGAGGAGCGAAAGCGUGGGGAGCGAACAGG